rnacentral:rRNA from 1 species
AGCGAACGCUGGCGGCAGGCUUAACACAUGCAAGUCGAGCGGGCAUCCUUGUGGUGUCAGCGGCAGACGGGUGAGUAACGCGUGGGAACGUGCCCUUCGGUUCGGAAUAACUCAGGGAAACUUGAGCUAAUACCGGAUACGUGCGAGAGCAGAAAGGUUUAUCUGCCGAAGGAUCGGCCCGCGUCUGAUUAGCUAGUUGGUGAGGUUAUGGCUCACCAAGGCGACGAUCAGUAGCUGGUCUGAGAGGAUGAUCAGCCACACUGGGACUGAGACACAGCCCAGACUCCUACGGGAGGCAGCAGUGGGGAAUAUUGGACAAUGGGGGCAACCCUGAUCCAGCCAUGCCGCGUGAGUGAUGACGGCCUUAGGGUUGUAAAGCUCUUUUCUCCGGGACGAUAAUGACGGUACCGGAGGAAUAAGCCCCGGCUAACUUCGUG